GUGCUCAUUUUGACAGCACAUAUACUAAAAUUGGAAUGAUACAGGAAAGAUUAGCAUGGACCCUGCACAAGGAUGACAUGCAAAUUCGUGAAGCAUUCAAAAGAUGG
rnacentral:snRNA from 1 species